GACGAACGCUGGCGGCGUGCUUAACACAUGCAAGUCGAACGCUGAAGCUCAGCUUGCUGGGUGGAUGAGUGGCGAACGGGUGAGUAACACGUGAGUAACCUGCCCCCUUCUUUGGGAUAACGCCCGGAAACGGGUGCUAAUACUGGAUAUUCACUGAUCUUCGCAUGGGGGUUGGUGGAAAGGUUUUUUCUGGUGGGGGAUGGGCUCGCGGCCUAUCAGCUUGUUGGUGGGGUGAUGGCCUACCAAGGCUUUGACGGGUAGCCGGCCUGAGAGGGUGACCGGUCACAGUGGGACUGAGAUACGGCCCAGACUCCUACGGGAGGCAGCAGUGGGGAAUAUUGCACAAUGGGCGAAAGCCUGAUGCAGCGACGCCGCGUGAGGGAUGGAGGCCUUCGGGUUGUAAACCUCUUUCGCUCAUGGUCAAGCCGCAACAUUGGUUGUGGUGAGGGUAGUGGGUAAAGAAGCGCCGGCUAACUACGUG
rnacentral:rRNA from 1 species